rnacentral:rRNA from 1 species
GACGAACGCUGGCGGCGUGCCUAAUACAUGCAAGUCGAGCGGAUGAGAAAGGAGCUUGCUCCUUUCGAUUCAGCGGCGGACGGGUGAGUAACACGUGGGCAACCUGCCUGUAAGACUGGGAUAACUCCGGGAAACCGGGGCUAAUACCGGAUAAUUCAUGAGACUGCCUAGUCUGAUGAUAAAAGAUGGUUCUGCUAUCACUUACUGAUGGGCCCGCGGCGCAUUAGCUAGUUGGUGAGGUAACGGCUCACCAAGGCGACGAUGCGUAGCCGACCUGAGAGGGUGAUCGGCCACACUGGGACUGAGACACGGCCCAGACUCCUACGGGAGGCAGCAGUAGGGAAUCUUCCGCAAUGGACGAAAGUCUGACGGAGCAACGCCGCGUGAGCGAUGAAGCCUUCGGGUCGUAAAGCUCUGUUGUUAGGGAAGAACAAGUAUGAGUUAACUGCUCAUACCGUGACGGUACCUAACGAGAAAGCCACGGCUAACUACGUGCCAGCAGCCGCGGUAAUACCUAAGUGGCAAGCGUUGUCCGGAUUUAUUGGGCGUAAAGCGCGCGCAGGCGG